rnacentral:rRNA from 1 species
UACAGAGGUCUCAAGCGUUGUUCGGAUUCAUUGGGCGUAAAGGGUGCGUAGGUGGCGAGGUUAGUCAGGUGUGAAAUCUCGGGGCUCAACCCCGAAACUGCAUCUUGAUACUGCCUUGCUCGAGUACUGGAGAGGAGAUUGGAAUUUACGGUGUAGCAGUGAAAUGCGUAGAUAUCGUAAGGAAGACCAGUGGCGAAGGCGAAUCUCUGGACAGUUACUGACACUGAGGCACGAAGGCCAGGGGAGCAAACGGG